GGAAAAUAAAUCAAAAAUUAAAAAUCAGUCAAAGGAAGGAUGGAAAUCCCGCGGUUGCAUUGAAGCCUGGAGAGGCUGCGGCGCCCGGCUCCCAGCUCCCUGGCCCGCCGGCCUUCCAGUCCCAGUUCCGCGGGCUGGGCACCGCCGGGCAGCGCCCUCCCGCACUCCGCCACCCGCUCCAGUAAAGGCUGCGGGCUGCAGCUUCGGGGGAGGAAGCAGGGGAGGGGAAGGCGGGGAGCAAACAAGAGGAGGGGAGGAGUGUGCUGGAGGGGAGGGAGGUGGGGGAGAGGGUGUGUGUCUAUUUCUGGCUGGGGAGGGGGAAGUAUCAGCAAGCCGAGCUCGCGGGUGGACGAGUGAGGGGUAGGGGGCAAAUAAAAGAGAGGACCAGGUUCUGUCCUGUCUUGGCUUUCAGCCUAGAGGAGGACUGGAUUCUCGGAGGGCUCGGGUGGUCCUCCGCAGCCUUGGGAGAAGGCAUCCGCUGAGGAGAUGGGCGUACAGGCUUCCUCCAGGCCCUUGCAGCUGGAAGGCAAAGUGGAAGGGAAGCAGACGUUGCUGAGACCAUCCACUGCAUGAAGCAGGACUACAGGAGCCACUCAGGGCUUAUAUGCACCCCUAAGUGUUUGGGCAGGAGCUUGUGUGGCCCACAAUCAGUUUGUGACAUACCUCAUCCUCUGUCUCCUACCAUUCCCUAAUGCUGCUGGUUGGCCUGGCCUUAUUCUGUUACACCCCUCUCCACGUCUUAUGGAAAUGUCCUCCUCUCCAGUACCUUUUGUGCAGCUACUGAAAAGUCUUCCCUCAAUGGGCUGCUUCCUGAAUUGGCUCACCUGCUUGAACAACCAGUGCCCAUAGUUCUAAUCCUUGCCUCUCACAUGAAUGUCCUUAAGCUAGAGACCACAAUCCUCUUAGUCCCAUGGCUUGCUGUCUCAGGGGGUUUGGGUUCAGGCAAUGUGUGAUAUCCUCUGGGAACCCCGAGAGUGAGCAAGUUAUUGUUGGCAAAAGUAUUUUAAUGUCCUGAAAUAAAGCACUUCCUCCUGCCA